rnacentral:miRNA from 1 species
UGGAACUCCAUCUCUGGUCUGUGCA